GCUAGACCCUUCUAGACCUUUUGUACUGAAGGGAACAGAACUGAGUUCCUGGCAGAAGGCCAGCCCCUUCCCCCAACACUUGCCAACAAACAGCCAGAGAGAUCUUGAAUGAAGAACAGCAAGGUGGAGAACUCACCAAGUUCGGGCAGCAGAGGCCUUUUCUGACUUCUCUGAUGAGCCCCAGAGGAAACGGAGGGGGAACCCUUACUUUCCUAGCACUGAUAGGCAAAGUUGUCAGAGGAAGCCCUUGUGAAGAAACACAGUGAGAUCAGGAGACCAGAACAGAAGAGGCAGUGGGGCUGGCAGAAGGGACAAGUGCCAGGGGACCGGCCUUCCCUGCAACAUUCCAGCGUCCUCUGCCAAGGCUGUGUGUGUGGCCCAUCCUGGGGCAGACUCACGUAGAGGUACUGUCAGAGGCUAAGGCCCAGCCAGCACAAAGGAGAGAGGUGCACGGGCUCAGGUGGAGAAACGCAGAUUGACUUGUGGCCUUUCUUCCACGUGCCAGAGAAGAUGAGCAGACACAGUGGAUGGGGUGGCUGUGUGUGUCUGUUAUUAUAAACAGCAGGUCCCAAGCACUGGGCUUACCACUUCACACACUUCUAUCUUAGUCCUCACAGCAGCCCUGCUGAGGGCACUGAGACAAUUCAAUCAAGGAAAUUCAGUGACCAUGAUAACAGGGCAGCACAUACCUCGCUGAGUUCAGGGAAAUUGUCCUGUUGACAGAAGGGGCACUGCCAUAGCCCUGUCUCAUCAUUGCGGAUUGCCUGGUCAUAGCUCUCACCCUGUGGACGCCUGUGGGCAAUGCCAGUGACGUUGCAGAUGAUAAGCUUUCCUGGAGGAAGGGGAGAGGAGAAGGGAAGAAAACAGGGAGCAGGCUAAGAGAACUGGAGAGGUGAUUCCUUCCCACCAACCCAUAGAACACGUGUCUUAGAGCAUCUCUACUGAUUUUCGUCACACCCUUGAAAAGGGAGAUCAUUUGAUGCGGGGGAAAUGAGGCCAUAGAUUGACCCCAUGAAGAUCCCACAGCAGCAGGUUAAAAGCAUAUCUGACCUUGAACUCAACUUUGACUUCCAGUUCAGGACUCCUAAUCUUCUUAAAAGCUCCCCUGGUCUUUGAGUACAAACCUGCCUCAUUCUGUUGGAAUUAUUGCUUGGUUUGAAUGUACAAUAAAUGCAUCCCCUCACCCCUCUAUGUCCUCCUCCCACUGAAAAACAGAAUUUACCAAUGUA